ensembl:lncRNA LINC00923 long intergenic non-protein coding RNA 923
GCCUCUCUUCUGCAAGGUGCCAUGCAUGGUUUGGGCAGGAUUUGCCUUCCAUCUGUCCACUGACCUCUCAGGGAUGCGCCUUCUAUUUAUGACAUGGAAUUUUCAGACAUUGGUGUGCAAGUGGCAAAAAGAGUCCUGUCCCAGCACUGCAAGGGGAAGAUAAAGGCUCGUCAUCUGUGCGUGCGUCCAUCUGAGUGGAACGUGUGUCCCGGGGGCUGCUGCCACCGCGCCGGUCCCUCCUGUAAUCCGAGCCCGUGUCAGAGGACGCGGCGCCUGCAAGGAAGAAGGGUUGCCGCAGGUGUGGCCAGAUCCUCUAGGCAAGAGGUGUGGAUUCAGGUCCUACUAGUCUUACUCCUGAUGAAGCUGGGCAAAUCAGUUGGCUCUGGAGUAAUUAGUAGCCCCUUCCUCACUGACCAUUGCAAGGAAAUACCAGUGAACUUGAGUUUCUCCAAUGAAGGUGAUCACAGUGAUGAAUGACUUGGCUUCUGCACAGCAAAAGACAUGAUCAUCAGAGCGAACAGACAACCUACAGAAUGGGAGAGCAUUUGUGCCAUCUAUCCAUCUGACAAAAGUCUAAAAUCCAAAGUUUACAAAGAACUUAAACAAAUUUACAAGAAAAAAACAAACGACCCCGUUAAAAAGUGGGCAAAGGAGAUGAACAGACACUUCUCCAAAGAAGACAUUCAUGCAGCCAACAAAGAUAUGAAAAAAGCUCGACAUUACUACUCAUUAGAGAAAUCCAAAUCAAAACCACAAUGAGAUACCACCACAUGCCAGUCAGAAUGGCAAUUAUUAAAAAGUCAAUAAACAACAGAUGCUGGUGAGAUUGUGGAGAAAAAGGAACACUUUUACACUGUUGGUGGGAAUGUAAAUUAGUUCAAACAUUGUGGAAGACAGUGUGGUGAUUCCUUAAAGAACUAGAAGCAGAAAUACCAUUUGACCCAGCAAUUCCAUUCCUGGGUAUCUACCCAAAGGAAUAUAAAUCAUUUCAUUAUAAAGAUACAUGUACGCGUAUGUUCAUUACAGCACCAAUCACAAUAGCAAAGACAUGGAAUCAAUCCAAAUGCCAAUCAAUGAUAGACUGAAUUAGAAAAAAAAAGUAGUACAUGUAUACCAUGAAUACUAUGCAGCCAUAAAAGGAAUGAGAUCAUGUUCUUUGCAGGGUCAUGGAUGGAGCUGGAAGCCGUUACUUUCAGCAAACUAACACAGGAACAGAAAGCCAAACACUGCAUGUUCUCACUUAUAAGUGAGAGCAGAAUGAUGAGAACACAUGGACACAUUAGGGGGAUCAACACACACUGGGGCCUGUUGUGGGGAUGGAGGGAGGGAGAGCAUCAGAAGAAUAGUUAAUGGAUGUUGGGCUUAAUACCUAGGUGAUGGUUUGUGAUAUGGUUAGGCUUUUUGUCCCCACCCAGAUCUUAUCUUGAAUUGUAAUCCCUGUAAUCGCCAAGUGUCUAGGGAGAUACCUGGUAGGGGGUGAUUAAAUCAUGGGGGCGGUUUCCCCCAUGCUGUGGUUGUACGGAAAAGAAAGAGAGAUCAGACUGUUACCGUGUCUAUGUAGAAAGGAAAGACAUAAGAGACUCCAUUUUGAAAAAGACUUGUACUUUAAACAAUUGCUUUGCUGACAUGUUGUUAAUUUGUAGCUUUGCCCCAACCACUUUGCCCAAACCACUUUGACCCAACCUGGAGCUCACAAAAACAUGUGUUGUAUGAAAUCAAGGUUUAAGGGAUCUAGGGCUGUGCAGGACGUGCCUUAUUAACAAAAUGUUUACAAGCAGUAUACUUGGUAAAAGUCAUUGCCAUUCUCUAGUCUCAGUAAACCAGGGGCACAAUGCACUGCGGAAAGCUGCAGGGACCUCUGCCCUUGAAAGCUGGGUCUUGUCCAAGGUUUCUCCCCAUGCGAUAGUCUGAAAUAUGGCCUCGUGGGAUGAGAAAGACCUGACCGUCCCCCAGCCCGACACCCGUAAAGGGUUUGUGCUGAGGUGGAUUAGUAAAAGAGGAAAGCCUCUUGCAGUUGAGAUAGAGGAAGGCUACUGUCUCCUGCCUGCCCCUGGGAACUGAAUGUCUCGGUAUAAAACCCGAUUGUACAUUUGUUCAAUUCUGAGAUGAGAGGAAAACCACCCUGUGGUGGGAGGCGAGACAUGUUUGCAGCAAUGCUGCCUUGUUAUUCUUUACUCCACUGAGAUGUUUGGGUGGAGAGAAACAUAAAUCUGGCUUACGUGUAUGUCCAGUCAUAGUACCUUCCCUUGAACUUAAUUAUGACGUAGAUUCUAUUGCUCACAUGUUUGUUGCUGACCUUCUCCUUAUUAUCACCCUGCUCUCCUACUACAUUCCUUUUUGCUGAAAUAAUGAAAAUAAUAAUCAAUAAAAACUGAGGGAACUCAGAGACCGGUGCCAGUGCAGGUCCUUGGUAUGCUGAGCGCCGGUCCCCUGGGCCCA